rnacentral:rRNA from 1 species
CAGCAGCCGCGGUAAUACAGAGGGUGCGAGCGUUAAUCGGAUUUACUGGGCGUAAAGCGUGCGUAGGCGGCUUCUUAAGUCGGAUGUGAAAUCCCUGAGCUUAACUUAGGAAUUGCAUUCGAUACUGGGAAGCUAGAGUAUGGGAGAGGAUGGUAGAAUUCCAGGUGUAGCGGUGAAAUGCGUAGAGAUCUGGAGGAAUACCGAUGGCGAAGGCAGCCAUCUGGCCUAAUACUGACGCUGAGGUACGAAAGCAUGGGGAGCAAACAGGAUUAGAUACCGGGUAGUCCCUGUCUCUUAUACA